UCUGCUCUUAGGCUUCAUAGUGGAAAUCUGGACUGACUUCAGAUGAGUGAGGUUACUCUGCAAAUGUCCCUGUGUGAGACCAGCAGCUAGUCCAGGAGAAGAGUGUCACGGGCCAUUGCUGCUUGGUUUUCUCUCGUGAGCUUUCAGUGAGAUGUGCCAGGUCUGCAGGAUGGUAAUACUUUUUUCCUCUUCUGUCUGAUUGUUGUAGGUCAGCACCAUCCAUGCCAGAGAAGGUUUUGGGAGUGACUGAGAUGUGUUUCUGAAAAACCUGUCUUUAUGACAAGAAGCAUGGAAUCCAGGUCACUUGGAUUAAAUCCAUGGGAAAAUGCCCCGAAAAAUUAAUUUAUGAUGGAUGAGAUUGAUGCUGAAAAGGCUGACUUAAUUUGUUUCAUUACGUUUGGAAAAUGAAUCUGAAGGCUUGACAGCAGCAAACUGAAGUGGGCACAGCAAAGCCCAUUUCUUGGCAAUCUUCACUCAUAGCUUUGUCUGUGCAUCUCUCUAAUGGUAAGUAAUGUGCUGAUCUUUGGCAGCUCCUGAACAAAAUCCUGACUUAAUUUUGCACCCAGGGGAGAGUACAAAUCAUCAGCGUGUUGUCGUUCGUGGUGUUUAUUUCUCAGAAACUUCAGUAGUGCAAAGAGAUGGUUCUGAAACAGAGGCUGGUGAAGGGAGCAAUGGGAGAAACAGGCUAUUCAGAGUAGGAAAAGAGGGUAUUUCCUACCACUGUAUUCAAGGAAAAAUGGAGCUGGAAGCUUGAAGACCAGGUGCUGCUUAACCUGUGGAAUGCACAGGUCCUUAGCAGGGAUUUGUGCUUCCAUGUACACCAUAACUGCUUAGUGCUUCCUGAGCAGCGGUCUGCUGGUGACAAAAGGAUGUCACACAUUAACUUCUGUUUGGGAACGCAACCAUCUUAAAGCUUCUGAGAUGACAGCAUUUCUCUUCUCUGCCUUUAUUGAAUCAGAUUAAAUGCAGAGCACAUUUUUAAACUUUAAUGUCAGAAUAGCUCUCCAAUAUGUUGUUGUUAGAACUUCUGUCAUGAGCAAAAGCCUUCUGCCCCUUCUCAUUUGACUAAUGAAGGGGAUGACUAAUGAAGCGAGAGUGCAAGAGUUCACGCAUAAUUUCAUUCUAUUUGAAUUUGAAAAUGCUGGGUUACAAAAAUGUUAUGAAUUUCCAUUUGUAGAAGAAAGAUAACUGUUAGAACAGAGCUCCUACUUUAAACUUCCUGCAGGGAUUUUCUUUAGCAUUGCUUCUUUUAUUGUAGUGAAAUGUAGAGAUUCUGAAAUUUUUUUUUCUUUUUAAACAAAGGGAGCUGUUUUUCUGAGUUAGCCAAUGCUGGUGCUCUCUGUGUUUUUCAGAUAUGGUCUUGACACUCUGGAUCUAUUACAAGAAAAGCUGAGGGUCUGGAAGCUGAGUAACAAUGAUGGGAAUCUACCUUGUUUGUCAUCAAAUCUUAGUCUGGGGAAAAUUAAAUCUUCCUGUAAAAUAAUAUGUUUACCCCAUUUUUAGAUUAGGCCAAAUUUGAGAAAUAAAGGCAUGAGUACCUGCUGGCACCUUGUGGGACAUCCAGCAGUGAUGCUGUAAGCUGCUGUUACCUGUGAAAAUGGGGUUUCCACAUGCAAACCUGGAGAAACCUAUGGCCACUUGGGUGUUUACAAGCACAAAAUGCCUGCAUGUUUAUGGCCAUGCAACGGUACAUGGACUUUGGCCAUAGAAAUGUUGUCCAUAAAGUGCAAAACCAUGGCUGUAUACAUAAGUGCAUUCCCUGCUGAUUAGCAACCUGCCAUAAACUCCUGUUGACAGAGCUAUUGGUUGUGCGUAAUCAUGGUGCGCGUUUUUUGGCCAUCACAUUAAGAUUCCCAGUUUCUUGUAAAAUCAGUCACUGCGGUAUUUUCUUUUUUUUUUUUUUUUUUAUUAAUACCUGUGUGUAUGAGGUGUCUGACAGAGUUAUUAUCCACUUUGGUGAUGAAAAACUCCUGCUGAGGUCCAGGGGAACAGGAUUCCAAAGACCAGCACGAUGUCUGUCUUAUAAAGCGCUCAUUCUUCUGACCGACCAUCUGUGUGUGAAAAAGGACUGCUCUUACGCAGCGGUAGUUUUGUUGAGUUUGGCCUUGAUUUCUUUUUUCCAGAUUUUGCCUAGCAAAAAGGGAGGGAGAGAAGGGAAAAAGCAAAUUUCAUUGGGAGAUGGAGGAGGUGGGGGUGGAGAGAAGGAGAGCUGAAAGCUUAAAAAAUGAGUGACUGGUGGAAGAGUACAGUAAAGUCAGUGAAUAAUUUUACUGUCCUGGUCUAGCAGCUUGGGAAUGUGCCAUGUUAAACAAUAACAUCUUCCAAGUGAGAAAGGCUGAGGGGGAGGGAAAAGUUGGGGUGAAGUGAGAGGAGGGGACUGGAGGUAAGAGAGGGAUUGGAUCCUUGAGUACAGUCACUGCCAGUCCUUGGAUCAGCUACUUUUUAUUUUUAUUGGUAUUUUUUUCAUUAAAUAUUUGAUGCUGAGUCACUGCCCAGGAUAUAAAAAUCCGUACUACUCUGUUACCAUUGCUUGACAAAUAAAAUUACAUAUAGGCUGCUGGCUUCAGGUUUUACCCAAAUAAAUUAAAUAAUUAUUGCUUCUUUGGGGCUUAUGGACCUUACUUCCCUAAAAUCAUUGUAUUGCAUUGAAGGCAAUUGAGAGGCAAAGAUGUAGGGCUGCCAUGCAUCUUGGCCUGGGUCUCUUUUCAUUUCUGUCCAUGCACUACUGAAAUGCUAUCCAAAGGUUUUGAAGGUUCCACAGAUUUAUCCAUGUUUUCCAAAUGCCUAGUAAGGUUAUCCAUUGUGACAUCUGUUGCCAGUUUGCUCUUAGCCAGGUGCACCUCUGGGAUUUCAGCACAUAGGUUAUCUUCGUCAAUGUGAUGAUCUACUAGGAAAAAUUAAUGUAGCUGGAUGCUUUGGGAAGCUUUGAGUAAACCCUACAGACAAUUUCCUGCUCUGCUUCAGGCUGUUUUCUAUACCUGCUUAGCAACAGUUCUGUGCUGCAGGAGUGCUGGUUUCAGGUUUGCCAUGGAGGAGAAAGAGGGCUUUCAGGGCACGAUGACCCAGAACAAAGGGGCUGUCAGUUCCCUGCUGGAGAAAACCUCUUAUCCUGACAGAGAUGGUACAUGAGGCCUGGGCAGUGGCCACCCUCAGCCUGGGUUUGGGCUUGCACUGAAUGCAAUUUUUGUGGUGGCUUGCCGACAUCUGGUUGGGAGGAAACUGAUGCUGUGACUGAGUGGGGCCCUUAGUUCUUAGUUUAAUUAAGAGUUGAGCUCCAGCAGGUCUGAUGCACCAUCUGGUGAGAAGAUGUCCCGUGUGUGCCUGGCUAUUCAUGUGUGGUGUGCCCCUCCUCCUCCCCAGCAUCAGCACACCGGGACAGCCACUCCCACCUGCUGCCACAGCCACAGUGCAUUUCAUGCUUAAACCUGCUGCCUUUCAUCAGUGGCUGCACAGACCCCGUGAGACACAUUUCUCUGGAGAGGUGCAGCAAACAGCAGCUUCAGCUGCCUGAUUGACUGGGAGGUUUUUUCAGGAGGGUGUGAAAUUUUAGGAGCCUCGAGGUUUGUUGUGCAGGCAGAGAGACAGGACCAAAAAUCUGUGAACAUCUCUGGGAUGUUGGACAACUUCAGGCAGUCGAGCCAAUGCUGGUAGGAGGCAAGCCUGAGAUCAACACUGAACUUGUCUGAAAAAAACCCCUCCAAAACCAAACCCAAACAAAAAUUAAUAAUAAAGAAAAAUAAAAUAUAUGUAGGAAGCUGAGCUUCCUAUAACAGGUCCUUUUAAAAGAGCUAAUUUAUCACAGCAUUGAUGGACACCCGACAAGAGGGAAGAAGGAGAAAGGAAUUGCUCUUCUAACUCAUAACUUAUGUCAGUUAAGAGGUAUUUCAUGCUUUCAUGGGGAUGGAAAGCCUCCAAUAAAUGGGUGAAAACAAUGUAGAAAACACUUCCCUAAUUAUCUAGUACAUCACAAUGAUGCAAUAGAAGGAAUGGCAACAACAGGAGUGGAAGGUUAGUGACAAAAAUCUGUUCCAUGCUAUUAAAAUGAUUCCUGAUCUAAAAAUGGGGACAAGCAGUAAAAGGACAAGAUUUGCUAAUGACACAAAACUAUUCAGGAAAACCUGAACUUUAAUCAGCUCUGGAGAACUGUAGAUACUAUUAGGAUGCUGAAUGACCGAAUCUCUUUUCUCAGCUUAUUUCUAAUAUUAAUAAAUGAAGAGUGAUGAAACAAGCAUAAACUACAUAUAUGCCAUGACUAGCAGGAAAUAGCUACUCCCACCCUGGGGGGAAACACCUCAGGUGUCAUUAUGGCUGUCUCUGAGAGUGUCACCACAAAAUGAUGGCAGAGUCAUCUAAAAUGCUAGGAUUUGGUAGAAGGGGAAUAGAAAUCAAAGUACAGAACAAGAGCAUCCUGCCACAGACCAUUCACACCUAAUCUUCUAUGUGAAGUUUUGAAAGAUUUAAUUUAAAAAUCCUAAGCAUUUUCAGAAAAAAACCCAAAGAUAUGGAUCAUAAGGAUGGUAUGGAGUGACUUCUACAUGACAAAGGGCUCAAUGGAUUUUCUAGGCUGGAAAAGAGUGACUGUAGGGGAAAGAUGAUAGCUAUUUUAAAAAUAAGAUUCAUAAGAGUGAAUGAAGGAUAGAGAAAUUAAAUAAGGAACUAUUUCUAUAUUCAUUGCUCCUCGCUAAACAAGGACUAUGAACAAGCAAAAGGAAAUGCAAUGGAGUUGUGCAUCUCAUUGGUACAUCUUGUCCUGGAAAAAAAGCAUUAGCAGGUUCAGAAAGGGAUCAGGCAAAUUAUAGGAAGAUGGGUUUGUGAGUACCUAUCAAACAUGAUGGCGCAGGUGCCAGCUCUCAGUUCAUGAAGUCUCUAAGCUGGUACCUUCCUGGGAGCUGGAGGGAUAUAGCAGGGAAAGAAUUACUCUGUACAUACCCCUUUUUCUCGUAGAUAUUUUUAAACUGAACUCUGUAGGCCUUUGAUUGGUUCAGAUGGUAGUGCCAAAUUAUGAGAUAUAUUUUUUCCCCCACUAGGUAGGAUAAAAAAUUGCUUCUUGUUGGCCUGGUACAAGUGAUACAACACAUCACUGAGUGAAUGGAGAGGGUGUUCAGUGAGGAGGAAGGCUCUGUACAGCCUGCCAGGGGAACCAGGCAUGUGGCAGGGGUGCCCAUGCUCCUCUCUGGCUGUGCAAGUGGAGAGGAUGAUGGAAAGUACUGCCAAGCAAUGUGAUCUUUGUUUGAUCAUCUGCCUUAAGUGAUUCAAACCACAUCUUUACACCAGAGAAAAUGACUGGCCACAGCUAAUUUGGGAGAUGGAAGUCUGCUCUGGGAAAGUGAGCAACAGCUGAUCAGAGGGUCAUGUUCUUGCUGAUAGUGGGGCUGCUGAUGUUUUUUCCAUAUCAGUGUCGAAGAGGAAAACCAGCAGCUCAUGUGCCAAUGGGAGGGAUAUCUGUUACCAAUGUCAGUACUUUGUAAACUUCUUCACUAUACUCCUUGUCUCUUCUCUUUACCUCUUAGUCGCUGCUUUAAUAAAUAUUUUAGAUGGAGAGAUAUUCUCUGAAGAACCUAAACCUGCUGUGUUGAUGAACUGUAAAUGUGUAGAACAGAACCUCCCUUUACCAUUUGCUCUGGGUUCCACUCACAAAAAUCUGAUGGUAAAAAUGAGUAGAAUAGACUUGAAGAAGUCAGGUGAAAAAGUUAAUACACUCUGAUUUAGCCAUAAAAGCUGAUAUUAAAAAAAAUAAUCAAAACACUUAAUAGAUCUAUUUGAAUAGACAAUGACAAUAGAUCUAUUUGAAUAGACAAUGACUUUCAAAGUAUAACAUGAGUUUUGCUGAGAUUCUGCAAUAUCUGGUUCACUUUGUGGGGCUUUUUUCCCAUUUCUGAUUUUUGUCCAAAACUGGAAGUGCAGGAAAUCCCAAGAAAGGCAGUUCUGGAGAUUUCCAGCUUAUUUCGGUGCUCUAGAGAUUCAGAUAAUCUGGGUAAACCUGUGAACUUUUGGAUGUUUAUCUGAACUGAACCUGAACUCUAAAUCUUCUAGGGUUCACCCAGCUAAGUCAGAGGGAGGAAGGCCUAUAAUGAUAAUUUUAAAUGAUUAUUUUCUCAUUCAGCCAUGGAUAUGACCCUUCUCAUCCUCCUGAGAAUUUCUUUGUGCUGCAUGGAACAAUGAGAAAGCUAAAUAGUGUGUAUCACAUAUGCACAAUUAAACAUUGCAUGCACCAUUACGGUUUCAGCUGCUGUACAUCCCAGUUGCUGGUUGCUGUCUUUGUAGGAGGAUUUCGCUAGAAAACAGAUGACUGUUUCCAGCCUGGCAUCGUCUUUAGUGAUAUCUUUCAUGCCACAUGAAGAUAACUUAGGGAAAAAGUGCUAGAAACAAAAUUACUGGACUGCAAUUGGCAAAGCCAGAAAAAGAAAAUAAUAACUGAUUCAAAAAACACAUAGGUGAACAUGUAGUGUUCAUUCUGUCAAGUUUUAAGAUGUGACUAUAGUAACAUUUUCCUUGUCUGACUGUAUAGUCACAGCAUCUGACUUCUUGAUGUUUAUCUAUGGAGACCUCUGGGAAACAGAGGAGCACUUCAUAAUAAUCUCUAUUCUACAGAAAAGAAUUUUCUAUUACACCAAAGAUAACAUCAUACCUUUCCUGAUGUCAAAGGCAAGGCACCAGCUGAUUUUUCUUGCUGCAGGAUUAUUUUUAGUAGAAGUUAAUGUAGGAAAUCCACAGCAGAGUGAGGAAUGAAGUCAGGAUUUCCCUCCACUUUGUCAAACUAUCCACACAUAUCCCAUCAUCCUCAACCAUUACCACUGGGUCAAAUUUGUACACUUGCAUUACAUAUCCAGUCUGAAAAGACACAGAAGUGCUGCACUGGUCUAGCUCUCAUGUCUUCUGUCCUUGUGAGACUGUAUCAGGUAUAACUGUGCUCUUGCACACACUGCCACACAGGUGUGGUGAAAGCAGAGUGUAUAUAGUAUUACAGUGUCCUUCCAGAUGCAAGAGAAUGAAUUGCUAGAAAAGUGCACAAGUAAAUUUCAUUUGGGAAGCUGGCAGACAGGUGCUCUGGUUGGAAGUCUGGAGAGGCAGUGUGCUUUAUGCUAGAGCUUGCUUCCCAAAUGCCUUCCCAAGCCAUGCUUCCAGUGCUUGUGAAAUCACUGUGACUUUCUUACCACAUCAGCAAUCGUUUAUGGCUCUGGAGUUGCCUGUCACUGCAGGGGAAAUUCAGAAGAGCUCAUUUCAUUUUUCAAGGGAAUUUGGAAACCAUCAGUGCUGUGUUUGAGCUCCUGGGUUUUCCACAGGACUUGGCGUUCAGCAGGGCUAUGCUGCUCUCAUCAGCUUCUCUCCAUGGAGCAGCUGCCUGCUGUGAUAUUUUCCAAACUUCAAGGAUUGCUGUUAGGUCCUUCAGGCACAGGAAGUGUCUCUUGCUAAGUUCAGACUAGACUUGUUCACAGAUUUUUGACGGAACUCUCAAACAAAUUGCAGUAACUUUAUACAUUUGAACAGAAGCUAUGUGGGAUUCAGUGAUUUUAUGGGAUUUCCAGAUUUUGAAAUUUCGCUAUCUUUCUGUUUUUCUCUGAGUAUGCAGGCAUGAGGUUCAUAGGUAUAAAGUUCUGCAAGCUGUACUUAAGGACUGAUUUUCACCAGUCCUUGUGAAUGGAGUCUUCCAGCCUGGCUUACCUUGUUUCACAUUGCACUCAGUCUUUCUAAAAUUUUGCCUUCUGGAGAGUAUGCUUUUUAAAAACCGCUGUCUAAACCUCAUUCAGCUUCUAGGAACAUCCUAUUGGAAAAAUUUGGGUUUUUUUUCUUCCUAUUGAAGCCAAUGCAGUGGAACACUAAGUGAGAGAAAUGUGUCAAUGAACAAAUCCUCUGUAGGGAAUGGCUUAGAAAUGUCCAUGCCAGCAGGAUGCAGGAAUAGCUCCUAGAUGUGUUUAACCCCAAAUGUGCAAUUGUGUUUAUACAGCAGAUCAAAGAAAAUGAACUUCUAUACAGGUCUGAGGAGAUCUGAACUAGGGGAAUGAAUUACACUUACUCGAAGGAUAUAGCACAGUGAAUUUUUUAUUAUCAAAGACUGCUUUGGGGCUUUUCCCACAGAUUGAAUUCUUAGUCUUAGCUCAAGCUGUAGGUAUAAAAUUGAUUCAAAUGUUCACUGUCUGAAACCUUUCUGGUAUGUCUAAAUAUGUAUUGUUCCUCUGCUUCUGUCUUGACAUUUAUUCUGUCAUCCAAAAAAAUGCUUAUGACUUUCUUUUGAAACCAGAACAGUGGAUGCAAGUUUAAAAACUUGAAUCCUUGCAAAAAAUACUUAGAUGUGAGUCUUGCAAUGUCUUUUACUCUGAAAAUGUUUUAAAGAGAAGUCCACCUGAAAGCAGGCCACCAUCAUCAGUAAGAUUCUAGUGCUGAUGCAGAUUUCUCUCAGAGGGAGAGAAAAGCCAGGGAAUAAAAUUGUAUUAUGAGUGGAAAUGAAAACAUUCAAAUGAGUGAAGCAUAAGAAUAAGCAGUCUCUUUAACAUGCCCUCAAAAGACAUCUUUCAGCUGGGCCUUCAGAUAAGGAAACAUUUCCAGUAGAGGUGCAAUUAGGAGAAAUAAUUGGGUUGGUUGAACUCUGAGUGAGUUGACCCUGAGCCUCAGUGUGACUUAGGUCUGAUACUCUCUCUGGAGAACAGAUUCUCCCCUGAGUCCCAAUGCCACAGGUUGAAGCGCUGACUCUUGAAAAUGCCAACCAGUGGGGCAGCUAAGAUCCUGAUCUGGAUGGGGAUCUGUGCAGCAUGGAUUGAAUCCCCUUUAUCCCCAGGGCACUUUAGCAUGCUGUGACUCUUGAUUUCUUUUGUUGCACUUACUUAUUUUGAGUUGUACGAUUCUGACAGCUCACAGCCCAGUUCCUUCUCUCCUGAUGAAAUCAGAGUAUCGUGCUUAAUGUCUUGUGUUUUGUUGUGCCAUGAGUUGCCAUGGAAAUGAGCCUGAGGUUGCAAAUCUAAUGAAGUCUCCUAUAUCGUGGAACAAAGAGGGGCAGGAAGUGGUGACACUGUGGGCAAGAAGCCUCAUGUGAAAAUCUCUUGUCUGAAAUCAGUAUAGGGCAAUCCUGGUACUGCUUAUCUUUGUCUGUCAGCGCAUCAGGGAAUCUUACUAGGACUUCCUCUGAUUAGGUGUCAUUCUUCCUCAU